AUUGAACGCUGGCGGCAGGCCUAACACAUGCAAGUCGAACGGUAGCACAGAGGAGCUUGCUCCUUGGGUGACGAGUGGCGGACGGGUGAGUAAUGUCUGGGAAACUGCCCGAUGGAGGGGGAUAACUACUGGAAACGGUAGCUAAUACCGCAUAACGUCGCAAGACCAAAGAGGGGGACCUUCGGGCCUCUUGCCAUCGGAUGUGCCCAGAUGGGAUUAGCUAGUAGGUGGGGUAACGGCUCACCUAGGCGACGAUCCCUAGCUGGUCUGAGAGGAUGACCAGCCACACUGGAACUGAGACACGGUCCAGACUCCUACGGGAGGCAGCAGUGGGGAAUAUUGCACAAUGGGCGCAAGCCUGAUGCAGCCAUGCCGCGUGUAUGAAGAAGGCCUUCGGGUUGUAAAGUACUUUCAGCGGGGAGGAAGGGGUUAAGGUUAAUAACCUUAGCCAUUGACGUUACCCGCAGAAGAAGCACCGGCUAACUCCGUGCCAGCCGCCGCGGUAA
rnacentral:rRNA from 1 species